rnacentral:rRNA from 1 species
GUAGGUGGCAAGCGUUGUCCGGAAUUAUUGGGGCGUAAAGCGCGCGCAGGCGGUUCUUUAAGUCUGAUGUGAAAGCCCACGGGCUCAACCGUGAGGUCAUUGGAAACUGGAGAACUUGAGUACAGAAGAGGAAAGCGGAAUUCCACGUGUAGCGGUGAAAUGCGUAGAGAUGUGGAGGAACACCAGUGGCGAAGGCGGCUUUCUGGUCUGUAACUGACGCUGAGGCGCGAAAGCGUGGGGAGCAAACAGGAUUAGAUACCCUGGUAGUCCACGCCGUAAACGAUGAGUGCUAAGUGUUAGGGGGUUUCCGCCCCUUAGUGCUGCAGCUAACGCAUUAAGCACUCCGCCUGGGGAGUACGGCCGCAAAGGCUG